AGGACGAGCGCUGGCGGCGUGCUUAACACAUGCAAGUCGAACGGAAAGGCCCGCUUGCGGGUACUCGAGUGGCGAACGGGUGAGUAACACGUGGGCAACCUGCCCUCAGCUCUGGGAUAACUCCGGGAAACCGGUGCUAAUACUGGAUAUCGACUUCUGCCUCGCAUGGGGUGUUGUUGAAAGUUUUUCGGCUGGGGAUGGGCCCGCGGCCUAUCAGCUUGUUGGUGGGGUGAUGGCCUACCAAGGCGACGACGGGUA
rnacentral:rRNA from 1 species